rnacentral:ncRNA from 1 species
UGAUAGCGAAGAAGCGAGAGGUUGCCGCUUAGGCGGGAGUUCCGUGGAGCGAAUGUCAAGUCUGGAUACUGACGACAA